GUCUGCUUAGUGUAGUGGUAUCAAUGCUUUCUUGUAGGUUUUGUUCCCGCGCGGUCCUGAGUUCAAUUCCCGGUGUGGGCA